GGAUCUCGCCAGAUCUAUGAAGGUAACCUCCUUUUCUCGAUCUCUCUCUCUCUCUCUCUAAUUCAUCAACAACGCAGAACCACGGGGUACUGUACAAUCGAUUUUAGGGUUUGCCAUUUCAUCCAUCUCCCUGCUUCUCUCUCAAAGAAGAUCUAGGGUUUCUCUAGGCGGAGCCGAGCCACUGGCUCACUGCAACCUCGCCGGCGUUUGAUACUUCCAUGGAACCAAAUAGUCCGAGCCGUGUAGGCUGGUAUUGUGUUCUUACCCUUCUCUCUUUUCGUUUUUGUUGAACUGAUUUCGUUUUUGUACAGCUCAUAUCACCAAAUCCGGUUUCAGUGACACUCUUUUCGUUUUUGGGAGUGAAGAACAAGCAGAUCCGGUAUUCUGUGGAAUAAUUUUUAUUAUUGUUUAAAGAUACUUUAGCAGACCAUCAAAGGUUCCCUUUUCUGAAUUUUUUUUUGAUACGAAUGCCACCAGAAGCACUCAAUCUUGUCUUCAUGUAGUGCUUAGCAAGCACUCCUUGCAAGUUGCAACUUCUUCAUUACCAGAGGUUUACAAAUGUCAAAAGCGGUCUUCUUCUUCAUUACUGGAGGUUUACUAAUGUCAAAAGAGGUCAAAUUACAGGUGUAUAGACGACCAGGUGGCGACAAGGUGUAUGCUGUAUUUGAUAAUCAACUCCCUGCUGCUUUAAAAAAGGUUACAGUUUGACAAGCAACUUUCAGUGGAGAAUGUGAGAAAAUUAAUUACUGUAUCUGAUGGAUAUCAACCUCAUUUAAUAGCACCUGAACAAGGCUGUCGUCGUCUUAUCGAAUCUACGUUGAUUACCAUCAAAUCUCCUACCGAAGCGGUUGUUGAUGCGGUUGGUUCACGGUAUACUGAAGGAUUUGGUCCGCAAGUCGAUUAAGGAGACCGCAGUGAGUCUGAAGGCUCUUAAUAUGGUUGGGAUCCAAAACCGAAGGCACUUCUUUGUCUCACUGAUUCAUGGGUUAGUGUUCGGUUAAAGGUUGCCACAAGAGACUGCGCAUCGUUCAUACCAUAGAGUUCAGUGAUGGGGGUUCAGACAUCCAGAUCUUGAGGGUUGCUGUUUACGAAGAGCAAUGGCCUGGUCCGGAUUCGGUUGGGAUCUUUACGAUUUUACAGAGUUGUAGUGGAGUGGCAGCUAGAGUCUGCGGGUGACACUAAGAACGCAUUGGUAACCACGCAUAGAACACUUGACCUAACCUCCAGUCUAGACGUGUUAAGCUCGGGUUCGGUAGUUGGGGAAUCGUUAUUGAAAGAUCUUUGGCAACAUCAAGACGCCAUUUUGUGUUGUUCUCUAAAGGCAUGGAGUGUGCCAGAGGUUCUUCGUCCGCUUUACGAAUCUUCCAAAGUUGUAGCCAAAAGAUGACCAUAGUGGCUUUGCGAUAUAUAAGGCAAAUAGCUCAGGAGUCAAGCGGAGAGGUAGUUUAUGGAUUGGGACGGCAACUGGCUGUUUUGAGAACGUUAAGUCAAAGAUUAAGCAGGUACUCCAAGAACCGUUGGAUCAAAAGAAGAUAGUGCAGGUUCGACCAUUAACGAACCACCAGCUUGCUUUGGCUGGAGGAAGUUAAAGUUAGGAACCCCGACAAACUGAGCCGAUGAGCCACGGGCUCUAUAUGGGCAGUUCAUCUGAUGAUUAUCUCUCGAGGGUCGGUCCAGAAACCCAUUAAGAGGUUGGUUAUAAGGACAAUUCAAGAACUCGCAAGUGUAGAUCUUGUGCUCAACUACUUGGUUUGCCGGAGGGGUUUUCCUCUUUCUAUCAGUCAACAACCCGAGAUUUGGUUUGACAUCUCCGACGUCAAAGUUGGGUUCCGGUUCAUGUUGAACUACUUCAACACCUUCUCCUGGUUAAUCAUGGCUAGCCACGUUGCACUCUCCUUUGCAGUCAUCUUAUCCUGUAAACACAAGGUGGUUGAAGACAUAAAGAAGACGACGUACUGGUGAAUAAACAACUGGGUUGCAUUAGAAGAAUGGUGUAAAUUUGGUGACACAAAUUUUGGUAUGUAAUGUUCUAUUUGUCUGUUUAGUUUUGUUUUUUGGUUGGAUGUUAGGUAGCAUUGGCGCAUACAAUUGGUCAUUUGUGUGAAUUUAUUGAAAUUCUAAUUAGUUGUGCCAUUACUUCAUUAACUUUUGCCUCAAGGCUCAUGUAUUGGGUUGUUGUAUAGUGAUAGGUUAAUUUUUGGAUCAUACCUUUGUCUGUUAUCGUAGGUUUUAACGAAAUGUUUUCGCUACUGAAGAUGAUUGCUAUUGAAAGUUGUCUUCAAGUUAUUUUAGCUUGUCACAUUUUGUUGGUU
rnacentral:lncRNA from 1 species